ensembl:lncRNA
GGUGACGGGAGAAGGUGGGAGGAGUCCCCAGUCCUGUGUGGGUGGCUAAGGGGCGGUGACGGGAGAAGGUGGGAGGAGUCCCCAGUCCUGUGUGGGUGGCUAAGGGGCGGUGACGGGAGAAGGUGGGAGGAGUACCCAGUCCUGUGUGGGUGGCUAAGGGCGGUGACGGGAGAAGGUGGGAGGAGUCCCAAGUCCUGUGUGGGUGGCUAAGGGGCGGUGACGGGAGAAGGUGGGAGGAGUCCCCAGUCCUGUGUGGGUGGCUAGGGGGCGGUGUCGGGAGAAGGUGGGAGGAGUCCCAAGUCCUGUGUGGGUGGCUAAGGGGCGGUGACGAGAGAACGUCGGAGGAGCCCCUAGUCCUGUGUGGGUGGCUAAGGGGCGGUGACGGGAGAAGGUGGGAGGAGUCCCCAGUCCUGUGUGGGUGGCUAAGGGGCGGUGACGGGAGAAGGUGGGAGGAGUCCCCAGUCCUGUGUGGGUGGCUAGGGGGCGGUGUCGGGAGAAGGUGGGAGGAGUCCCAAGUCCUGUGUGGGUGGCUAAGGGGCGGUGACGGGAGAAGGUGGGAGGAGUACCCAGUCCUGUGUGGGUGGCUAAGGGGUGGUGACGGGAGAAGGUGGGAGGAGUCCCCAGUCCUGUGUGGGUGGCUAAGGGGCGGUGACGGGAGAAGGUGGGAGGAGUCCCCAGUCCUGUGUGGGUAGCUAAGGGGCGGUGACGGGAGAAGGUGGGAGGAGUCCCCAGUCCUGUGUGGGUGGCUAAGGGGCGGUGACGGGAGAAGGUGGGAGGAGUCCCCAGUCCUGUGUGGGUGGCUAAGGGGCGGUGACGGGAGAAGGUAGGAGGAGUCCCCAGUCCUGUGUGGGUGGCUAAGAGGAGUCCCCAGUCCUGUGUGGGUGGCUAAGGGGCGGUGACGGGAGAAGGUGGGAGGAGUCCCCAGUCCUGUGUGGGUGGCUAAGGGGCGGUGACGGGAGAAGGUGAGAGGAGUCCCCAGUCCUGUGUGGGUGGCUAAGGGGCAGUGAUGGGAGAAGGUGGGAGGAGUCCCCAGUCCUGUGUGGGUGGCUAAGGGGCGUUGACGGGAGAAGGUGGGAGGAGUCCCCAGUCCUGUGUGGGUGGCUAAGAGGAGUCCCCAGUCCUGUGUGGGUGGCUAAGGGGCGGUGACGGGAGAAGGUGGGAGGAGUCCCCAGUCCUGUGUGGGUGGCUAAGGGGUGGUGUCGGGAGAAGGUGGGAGGAGUCCCAAGUCCUGUGUGGGUGGCUAAGGGGCGGUGACGGGAGAAGGUGGGAGGAGUCCCCAGUCCUGUGUGGGUGGCUAAGGGGCGGUGACGGGAGAAGGUGGGAGGAGUCCCCAGUCCUGUGUGGGUGGCUAAGGGGCGGUGACGGGAGAAGGUGGGAGGAGUCCCCAGUCCUGUGUGGGUGGCUAUGGGGCGGUGACGGGAGAAGGUGGGAGGAGUCCCCAGUCCUGUGUGGGUGGCUAAGGGGCGGUGACGGGAGAAGGUGGGAGGAGUCCCCAGUCCUGUGUGGGUGGCUAAGGGGCGGUGACGGGAGAAGGUGGGAGGAGUCCCCAGUCCUGUCACACAUCAAACCAUCACUCUUUUCAUUAAUGUCUUCUCUUCUCUUUCCUGUUCUUCUCUGUUCUGUCUCUCAGCUUGUGGCCACCAUGUUUGCUUCUUUCUGGCGCAGUCUCUCU